GACGAACGCUGGCGGCGUGCUUAACACAUGCAAGUCGAACGGAAAGGCCCUGCUUUUGUGGGGUGCUCGAGUGGCGAACGGGUGAGUAACACGUGAGUAACCUGCCCUUGACUUUGGGAUAACUUCAGGAAACUGGGGCUAAUACCGGAUAGGAGCUCCUGCUGCAUGGUGGGGGUUGGAAAGUUUCGGCGGUUGGGGAAGGACUCGCGGCUUAUCAGCUUGUUGGUGGGGUAGUGGCUUACCAAGGCUUUGACGGGUAGCCGGCCUGAGAGGGUGACCGGCCACAUUGGGACUGAGAUACGGCCCAGACUCCUACGGGAGGCAGCAGUGGGGAAUAUUGCACAAUGGGCGGAAGCCUGAUGCAGCAACGCCGCGUGCGGGAUGACGGCCUUCGGGUUGUAAACCGCUUUCGCCUGUGACGAAGCGUGAGUGACGGUAAUGGGUAAAGAAGCACCGGCUAACUACGG
rnacentral:rRNA from 1 species